rnacentral:hammerhead_ribozyme from 1 species
GUCCAGCUGAAGAGUCCCGAAUAGGACGAAACGCGCGUCCUGGAU